rnacentral:other from 1 species
AUCACCCGACCAUGUGCGACCUCCAUCACGCAGUUUUGAGCCAACACCAAGACUGCGGGAGCUUGGUCUCUCGAGGCAGGACUGGCAUGCCCCCUACGCGGGGGAGCCGCAAAACCUCGAGGCCGGCACCCACCUGCGAGAGCAGGUUCAAAACGCGGCAGGUGCGGCAUGGUGGGGCUUUU